rnacentral:rRNA from 1 species
GACGUAGGGCGCGAGCGUUGUCCGGAUUUAUUGGGCGUAAAGAGCUCGUAGGCGGCUUGUCGCGUCGUCCGUGAAAACCUGUGGCUUAACUACAGGCUUGCGGUCGAUACGGGCAGGCUAGAGUUCGGUAGGGGAGACUGGAAUUCCUGGUGUAGCGGUGAAAUGCGCAGAUAUCAGGAGGAACACCGGUGGCGAAGGCGGGUCUCUGGGCCGAUACUGACGCUGAGGAGCGAAAGCGUGGGGAGCGAACAGGAUUAGAAACCCCGGUAGUCC